rnacentral:rRNA from 1 species
GACGUAGGGAGCAAGCGUUGUCCGGAUUCACUGGGCGUAAAGCGCACGUAGGCGGCUUGUUAAGUGUGAGGUGAAAUCCCCAGCGCUCAACGCGGGAACUGCCUCGCAUACUGGCAAGCUUGAGGGAUGCAGAGGUAACUGGAAUUCCUGGUGUAGCGGUGACAUGCAUUGAUAUCAGGAGGAACACCCGAGGCGAAGGCGGGUUACUGGGCAUUUCCUGACGCUGAGGUGCGAAAGCGUGGGUAGCAAACAGAAUUAGAUACUCUGGUAGUCCACGCCCUAAACGAUGGAUACUAGUCGUAAGAGGUAUCGACCCCUCUUGUGACGCAGCUAACGCAUUAAGUAUCCCGCCUGAGUAGUACGGCCGCAAGGUUGAA